rnacentral:lncRNA from 1 species
UUCGUAAAAUAGAGCUUUUAUUUGUUCAUACAAAUAGUAUGAAUUAUCAGAAUUUCAUUUCCCUAGAAACAUCUUUCUCUGUGUAAAAUUAAUUUGUGUUGUACAUACCACAAAAUACUCGAUUUACAUUUUUUUUUUCAGCUUUUUUUAGAUGGUUUUUUUUUUGUUUUUUCUUUCCAUUUUGUUCUUUUUCUUACAAAUUGGCUACUCUAUAGUUCCAUGUUACAGACAACACAUCACUAAUACCUGUACUGCACGUCUGAAUACAGGACUGAAUGAAACUCAGCCAUAAAUUAAUGUUACAAUGUGGAAAACCAAAAAUAAACAGAACUUCUAAUCACACCUCCAAGCUUAACUUAAAGUAAAAAGGUAUUUUUUACAAUAGCACUGAUUCCAGUAUUAGCAACCAGAUGUACACCACGGGGACUUCACCUUCAUUGUCUUGUUAGGUAAGGCUUUUACAUUACAAGUCUAGUGCAGACUUCAUUACGAAGGAUAUUGAGCAAGGGCUAACAACUUGCUUAAGGUUAGAAAAGUUAUUAUGUACUCCCUGUAUUCCUACUCGCCAACAAGAUUGCUUCACGGGAGUGUUUUGCAGCAGGGCUUGAUUGUAUAAAUGAAGCCCACAGGCUGCUGUACAGCUGAGGAAGGCAUGGGGAUAUUAAGAAGUUGUUUCCAAGAAAGCAAGGAGGAAGACGGAGGGGAUGCAAGAUGCUUCAGCAUCCAGAGGCAGGCACGCACAUGCGCUCCGUUGGGAGCCCCAUGGGAAGGAAGCCACGCCAGCACAAGAGAUCCUGGAGGCUCUCACCAUGCAGCCAGUGAAACCACUUGAGGAAGUGACGGAGCUGUGGCUGGGAGCUUACCCGAAGGCCAAGAGAAGAGGAAGAGCUUCUUUCCACACAUUGCAUAUGCCAGCUCAUAGGAAGACUGAGGUUAUGAGAAGUAAAAAUCACUGUUUUCCACCUGGAAGUGUUUUCUUCUCCCUGUGCAGCCCCUUCCCCUCCAUCACCCAACAGGAGCAGGGUUUGUGAUAACGCAGACAUGCUUCUGUGCUGGCAGCAGGCAACAGAGCUGGGGACCUGGCUGGAACUAAAACCCAAGCCCCCAAACAUGCAUAGAUAGAUCCAACCACCACUUGAGGUUUGCAGCUGCGUUACGCAGGAUGGGAUUGUGUGGGAGGGCUGUCAACCUGCAGCCCCGCAGAUCCCACACUC